GACGAACGCUGGCGGCGUGCUUAACACAUGCAAGUCGAACGGUAAGGCUCCAGCUUGCUGGGGUACACGAGUGGCGAACGGGUGAGUAACACGUGGGUGACCUGCCCUGCACUUCGGGAUAAGCCUGGGAAACUGGGUCUAAUACCGGAUAGGACCGCACCGUGAGGGUGUGGUGGAAAGUUUUUUCGGUGUGGGAUGGGCCCGCGGCCUAUCAGCUUGUUGGUGGGGUAAUGGCCUACCAAGGCGGCGACGGGUAGCCGGCCUGAGAGGGUGGACGGCCACAUUGGGACUGAGCCACGGCCCAGCCUCCUCCGGGAGGCAGCAGUGGGGAAUAUUGCACAAUGGGCGGAAGCCUGAUGCAGCGCCGCCGCGUGGGGGAUGACGGCCUUCGGGUUGUAAACUCCUUUCCCCAUCGACGAAGGGUUUCUGACGGUAGAUGGAGAAGAAGCACCGGCUAACUACGUG
rnacentral:rRNA from 1 species